rnacentral:lncRNA from 1 species
UUAACAGCAGGAGCCACAGGCUGGUAGCUGCAGUAAUGUGAGAGGCCAAACCUGGAGAAAAGAUGAAGGAAUGCCAAGCCAAACAGCAGACAACCUCUGUCACAUUGAUUUCAAACUACAGCAAACCAAAGAUGAAGGAAACCAUCCCUGAAGUGGCCAAAGAAAACCUGUGCAAACUACUGGGGGGGGGGGCAGUGCGGGAGGGGCACACCUUUAAUCCCAGCACUGGAGAGGCAGGUAGAUCUCUGAGUUGGAAGCCAGCCUGGACUACAGAGUGAGUUUCAGGACAGCCAGGGCUACACAGAGAAACCCUGUCUCAAGGUUGUCUCAA